GAUGAAUGCUGGCGGCGUGCCUAACACAUGCAAGUCGAGCGGCAGCGCGGUCUUCGGACUGGCGGCGAGCGGCGGACGGCUGAGUAACGCGUGGGAACAUGCCCCAAAGUGAGGGAUCACCGCCCGAAAGGGUGGCUAAUACCGCAUACGAUCUUCGGAUUAAAGGAUUUAUCCGCUUUGGGAGUGGCCUGCGUACGAUUAGAUUGUUGGUGAGGUAAUGGCUCACCAAGUCGACGAUCGUUAACUGGUCUGAGAGGAUGAUCAGUCAGACUGGAACUGAGACACGGUCCAGACUCCUACGGGAGGCAGCAGUGAGGAAUCUUCCACAAUGGGCGAAAGCCUGAUGGAGCAACGCCGCGUGCAGGAUGAAGGCCUUCGGGUCGUAAACUGCUUUUAUAAGUGAAGAAUAUGACGGUAACUUAUGAAUAAGCACCGGCUAACUACGUGCCAGCAGCCGCCGUA
rnacentral:rRNA from 1 species